AACGAACGCUGGCGGCAUGCCUAACACAUGCAAGUCGAACGAGACCUUCGGGUCUAGUGGCGCACGGGUGCGUAACGCGUGGGAAUCUGCCCCUCGGUUCGGAAUAACACAGAGAAAUUUGUGCUAAUACCGGAUAAUGACGAAAGUCCAAAGAUUUAUCGCCGAGGGAUGAGCCCGCGUAGGAUUAGCUAGUUGGUGGGGUAAAAGCCUACCAAGGCGACGAUCCUUAGCUGGUCUGAGAGGAUGAUCAGCCACACUGGGACUGAGACACGGCCCAGACUCCUACGGGAGGCAGCAGUGGGGAAUAUUGGACAAUGGGCGAAAGCCUGAUCCAGCAAUGCCGCGUGAGUGAUGAAGGCCCUAGGGUUGUAAAGCUCUUUUACCAGGGAUGAUAAUGACAGUACCUGGAGAAUAAGCUCCGGCUAACUCCGUG
rnacentral:rRNA from 1 species